rnacentral:rRNA from 1 species
AUUGAACGCUGGCGGCAGGCCUAACACAUGCAAGUCGAGCGGAUGAAGGGAGCUUGCUCCUGGAUUCAGCGGCGGACGGGUGAGUAAUGCCUAGGAAUCUGCCUGGUAGUGGGGGAUAACGUCCGGAAACGGGCGCUAAUACCGCAUACGUCCUGAGGGAGAAAGUGGGGGAUCUUCGGACCUCACGCUAUCAGAUGAGCCUAGGUCGGAUUAGCUAGUUGGUGGGGUAAAGGCCUACCAAGGCGACGAUCCGUAACUGGUCUGAGAGGAUGAUCAGUCACACUGGAACUGAGACACGGUCCAGACUCCUACGGGAGGCGGCAGUGGGGAAUAUUGGACAGUGGGCGAAAGCCUGAUCCAGCCAUGCCGCGUGUGUGAAGAAGGUCUUCGGAUUGUAAAGCACUUUAAGUUGGGAGGAAGGGCAGUAAGUUAAUACCUUGCUGUUUUGACGUUACCAACAGAAUAAGCACCGGCUAACUUCGU